rnacentral:rRNA from 1 species
AUGCAAAGUCAGAGAGUUUGCCUAAAAAAUAACAAGCAAAUCACAUACUUAACAGUUUUUGACCGCUCCAUGCCACCGUCCGUGAAACAGCCGGCGGUGGCAGCAAACCGGUAUGCGGCGUGCCACAAGAAGGUGGAGCUGUGGGGGUUCCGCCGCCGUUGCGAGGGCAAUGACAAAAGAAAACGUACACUAUGUCUAUGGUUUAAUAUUGUAUCACCUAAAAAAACCAUGGAUCCGUUUUGCACGAAAAUGAGAAGAGUUGUCUCCCUAUUGAUAUGUGCUUGUCUAAGUGCUGCUUGCAAAUUGCCCCGCUUGCACUAA